GAUGAAGAACGCAGCGACAUGCGAUAAGUAAUGUGAAUUGCAGAAUUCAGUGAAUCAUCGAAUCUUUGAACGCACAUUGCGCCCGCCAGUAUUCUGGCGGGCAUGCCUGUUCGAGCGUCAUUACAACCCUCAGGCCCCCGGGCCUGGCGUUGGGGAUCGGCGGAAGCCCCCUGCGGGCACAACGCCGUCCCCCAAAUACAGUGGCGGUCCCGCCGCAGCUUCCAUUGCGUAGUAGCUAACACCUCGCAACUGGAGAGCGGCGCGGCCACGCCGUAAAACACCCAACUUCUGAAUGUUGACCUCGAAUCAGGUAGGAAUACCCGCUGAACUUAAGCAUAUCAAUAAGCGGAGGA
rnacentral:misc_RNA from 1 species